AGGGAAGGGGAUAUUGGGGAGGCACCUCAUCCUCUUCCAACUGUGAAGAGUGUGGGAGGGAAGGUUCAAAACGGAGGCGGGGCCCAGGGAGGGGGCUGGGCCAGGUCCAGGUGAGAGCUGAGAAGGCCGUGGGGCAAGAGGAGAAGACAGUGUCCCACCUCCCACUGGUCCAUAGUGGGUGCAAGCUGUGUGUGGGGGUGCUCUGAGCCAAAGUGCAGGUGCCCUCAAGCCUGUGCCCUUGCAAGACUGGUCGUAUGAUGCCAUCAGCACAUCCCCAGGCACUCUCCCACCACUCUCAUGCUGCUCCUGCCAGGCCCCUCUGUCCACCUUGCCCCACGUGCUCCUGGUUCUUCCCUGGCACCGUUGUCCUGGGUGCACAGCCCAUGCCCAGAGGAGGGCUGGGCAGCGGGGAGAUUGAGCAGCCCGAGCCCAGGGAGGCCAUGUUGGCCCUGGGCUGGUGCUGGGAACAGUCCUUUUUUUAGAAAUUCCUGAGUCACCUCUUUUCCCUGUGCAGGCGGCGAGCACACAGUAAAGCAGAGCCUCAGACUGGAGGGCUCUGAGUGUGGGUGGUAUCGUUUUCUUAAUAUCCUCCCAGGUUUUCAUUCUGCAGCUUUUGCCAAAACCUCUGCCCCAGAAGCCGCUCAUCUUGGGAGAGCUCUGGCAGCCACGGGAGAAGGCAGGGCACCUCGGCCUGCACAGGGACCCGACAGGGUCGUCUCCCUCCGGAGCCCUGUCCUCCCCAACUGCCCCCAGGUCAACAGCAGCAAGAUCCUAACUUAGGCAUUUGCGUGAAGCCCACCUCGGUUCCCUCUGCUGCCUCGUCCUUCGUCCCUUUCCUGGGAGCUCCCUCCACCUCCGCGUGCCCCGGCCCUGAAAGGACACACGUUCUGGCACAAUGUGCACACACACACAUGUGCACAUAUCCUACAUAUACAUAUGCACAGGCAUGCACACAUAUGCACUCUACACACACAAGCAGUGUACACACGUGUGCAUGUGUACAUAUGUGGAUGUGUACAUGCAUUACACAUAUGCACGCGUACACAUCAAAUGCAGUGUUCACAUGCAUGUGUACACACAUUGCAUGCAUGUGCGUAUACAUAGACGCCCACAUGUUCGUGUGUGCAUGUGUACAUGCAUGUUUGCGCGCGCACCUGCACAUGCGCAUGUACAGUCUCACAUGUGUGCACAUCGGUAUUUUUACACACCCUCUUCACAUGCUCUCUUGCCCACCGCAGCCCACACCCACCCUCAGGACGUCCUGGUCCUGGCCCCGCGGGCAGCCCACGCGGCCGGUUUCUCUCCCACGCCUCCUCCCGCUGAGCCGCCUCCCCCGGACUCUUUCCCUGUGCAGGCGCCACGGUCCUGGCCAGCGACUCCAGCCGGCUCCCCAGGCAGUAACUCUGCUCCAGCGAUCCCAGUGCAGCCAAAAUCUUCCACGGGCUGAGAGCCAGCAGCCUCUUCUGGCCGUUCAGGAGCUGCCUGGCUGCUUCUGCCUCUGUCAGAAAGUUCUGGCGGGUUGGACAAAAGGAUGAAAACCCAUCCCCUGCGGGAGAUGAUGAUGAUGACGCAGCUGUGGC
rnacentral:lncRNA from 9 species